GAUGAACGCUAGCGGCAGGCUUAAUACAUGCAAGUCGAGGGGCAGCACAGAUAGCAAUAUUGGGUGGCGACCGGCAAACGGGUGCGGAACACGUACACAACCUUCCUUUUGGUGGGGGAUAGCCUUUGGAAACGGAGAUUAAUACCCCAUAAGAUAUUGUGACCGCAUGGUUAUGAUAUUAAAGAUUUAUUGCCAGAAGAUGGGUGUGCGUAUGAUUAGGUAGUUGGUGAGGUAAAGGCUCACCAAGCCGACGAUCAUUAACUGGUGUGAGAGCACGACCAGUAACACGGGCACUUAGACACGGGCCGGAAUCCGACGGGGGGAAGCAGUAAGGAAUAUUGGUCAAUGGACGGAAGUCUGAACCAGCCAUGCCGCGUGGAGGAUGAAGGUCCUCUGGAUUGUAAACUUCUUUUAUAUGGGGCGAAAAAGGGCCAUUCUUGGUCAACUGACGGUACCAUAUGAAUAAGCACCGGCUAACUCCGUGCCAGCAGCCGCCGUAAUAC
rnacentral:rRNA from 1 species